CUUCCUAGCAGGCUGAAUGUCCAACUGGCUGACGUCACUUCUGUAAUAGUUGGGUCUGUGUAAAAAAAGAGCCUUAAAAACAGAAUGCUGGAUGGUAAUAAACUGUGAUGGAGGCCAAUUAUUAUCACCCGAAGAAAAAAUGUUUUGAAAUAGGCCAAACACAUGGAUUCUGCUAUAGCAGAUGUUCUCACAACGUUGUGGAAGAACUGCAAACUCCAGAACUCAAGUUUCUUGAGUGCUCUGUCCUGCCCUGUAACAUCCUGACUGAAAACACUUGGAGAAUGUGCUAUUCUGCUUAUCAGACAAAAU